CGGGAAGUAGCUCAGCCUGGUAGAGUACGGCGUUCGGGACGCCGGGGCCGGAGGUUCGAAUCCUCUCUUCCCGACCA
rnacentral:tRNA from 1 species